UACGGAGGGGACUAGCGUUGUUCGGAAUUACUGGGCGUAAAGCGCACGUAGGCGGAUUUGUAAGUCAGGGGUGAAAUCCCGAGGCUCAACCUCGGAACUGCCUUUGAUACUGCAAAUCUCGAGUCCGGAAGAGGUGAGUGGAAUUCCUAGUGUAGAGGUGAAAUUCGUAGAUAUCGGGAGGAACACCGGUGGCGAAGGCGGCGACCUGGGUAGAUACUGACGCUGAGGUGCGAAAGCGUGGGGAGCAAACAGG
rnacentral:rRNA from 1 species